rnacentral:rRNA from 1 species
UGAGGAAUAUUGGUCAAUGGACGAAAGUCUGAACCAGCCAAGUAGCGUGCAGGAUGACGGCCCUAUGGGUUGUAAACUGCUUUUGUAUGGGGAUAAAGUCAAUCACGUGUGAUUGUUUGCAGGUACCAUACGAAUAAGGACCGGCUAAUUCCGUGCCAGCAGCCGCGGUAAUACGGAAGGUUCGGGCGUUAUCCGGAUUUAUUGGGUUUAAAGGGAGCGUAGGCCGGAGAUUAAGUGUGUUGUGAAAUGUAGACGCUCAACGUCUGACUUGCAGCGCAUACUGGUUUCCUUGAGUACGCACAACGUUGGCGGAAUUCGUCGUGUAGCGGUGAAAUGCUUAGAUAUGACGAAGAACUCCAAUUGCGAAGGCAGCUGACGGGAGCGCAACUGACGCUUAAGCUCGAAGGUGCGGGUAUCAAACAGGAUUAGAUACCCUGGUAGUCCGCACAGUAAACGAUGGAUGCCCGCUGUUGGUACCUGGUAUCAGCGGCUAAGCGAAAGCAUUAAGCAUCCCACCUGGGGAGUACGCCGGCAACGGUG